AGGUAGAUGAACGAAAAAAGAGAGAAGAAUAUGUUCACUCUGUAUGUCAGUCACCUCUAAGGUAAAGGAAAGAUGCAUGUGCCAAUGGAGUUGUCAACUGCUGGAAGAGCGAAAUGAGGUAAGAUGAUUCGAAGAACAAAAAAAAGAACAGGAGCUAAACAAGUGCUCUGGUAACCUGUGGGUUUGCUAGUAUCUCAACUACCUACUGGAAAAUGCUACUAACAGAGCAAUCAUCAUGCACUCGCCAAAUUGUUUCACCGAGAAGAUUGGCAACUGAAAGAACGGUCAGCUGUGGAAAACAGUUCUUUU
rnacentral:misc_RNA from 1 species